ACCAUCCUGGAACGCCAAUGGUCGCCGUAGGUUCUAGAGGGAUUCUACUGGCAACACCAACAAUAACAAGAAAAAGAAUCCACGACGCAAUACCCACUUUUAAAGGGACACACCAAAUCCUCUUGUUGCUAUCCACCGCUUGGGUUCAAAUUCCCUUGUAUAUAUUUUUACCCAAUGCAGUCGGGACCUUUUUCGGUUUAAAGAGGGUGAGAGUGUUGGGAGUGCACAUGGUUGCCAGGCGAAUUUCGAGGGAGAAGGGGAAAGAGAACUAACUAACGGAACUUGCUUGCCAAGAGCUCUCUUUCUCCCCGGUGUGAACGACCGUCCUUCCACCGGCAAAGAUAGAAGAGCUCUUUCUCCACAUUCUCCACCACCACCACCACCACCACCUCUAUCUUUGUACGUACAUACGUACGUACGUAGCAAGUAGACUGCAUGUUUUUCAUGGGCUGGAUCCAGUGAUCCAGUAAAGCAGUAGUGGUAGCCAAAGCAGUAGUCGGAAGCCUUAGACCAUGGAGAAGCGAGGAGCAGCAGGAAGGAGAAGAAGAGCAUUUUGCUACCAAUCUGAGGGAAUAACGCCCAAUUUUUUUUUCUGGUUCAACCAUUGCCAAUGGAGAUGGGAACAAAGAGUAUUAUUGGAUCACGUCUCCUUGUGUUGCCAUUUUCUUUGUCGAGGGAUCUUCUACGAAAGAUGAACAAUGAUCCGAUCAACGCUUGGCUUUAGAGUUCGACCAAGAAUGCGUAGCUUGUUUAUUGACAUAUUUCCGUCAUUGGAUUCAUUCAGAUAAAUCUUUCAUACGAGAAUAAAACAUCGCGAGAAGAAAACACAUUGAAAAAGAAGAAGAAGACAAGGGAGACGAGGAAAGAAACAAAUUUCCAAUGGGUUUUAAGACGAGAGACAGUAGAUAGAGAGAGUGAUAGGUAGGGAGAGAAA